rnacentral:lncRNA from 1 species
GUGGCAGUCCAAGUUCACACAGCCCUGGUCUGCUUGAAGUUGUUUGCAUACAUCAGUAUUUGGGAAACUAAGUUCGGUCCAAGAACAGAAAAUGUUUCCUGGCUACAUGGAGGGUAAAGCAAACGUGAAGUUGCCUCAUACGAGAAGAAUCCAGACAUGAGAAAUCUCAGCCUUUGGUCCAUUAUUUUGUAAAUCUGCUCAAAAGAGCAUGGAUUCACAAGAGAAGUGUCCAGGAGGAGGGUAGUGUCAGCCCCACUGCUCUGUGGGGCAGUAGGACCACAUCUCAGGCACUGGGUCCAGGUCUUGGCAGUCAGGAUGUCUCCAGGGGCUGUUGAGAAAUUGGAGUGCCUCCAGAGGGGAGCAAUGGGGACAGAAGAAUCUGGAAACUGGGUCAAAGAAGGAGCAGUUGAAUGAACAACGUGUGUUGGCCUGAAGAAGAUAAGUUGCAGCGGGGACAAGAAGCUGUUUUCAAAGUUUUCAAAGAUUUGAAGUGCUGUCAGGUGGAAGAGCAGUGAAAAUUGCGUGGCUCCAAACGGUAAAUACAGGACCAAUGAGUACGAGUCAUAGGGACGGUGUCCGCUGAAAAGAAGGAAGCAUUUUAUAAUCAUUAAAGAUGUUCAAAGUAGGUGGUGAUACUUGGUUAUAUAGGAAAUGUUUGUAUGAAGACUAGAUAUAUAUAAAAAUGUUGGAGGAAGAAUUUUUGAGCUUUUUUUUUUUGUCUCACCAAGCAAAUGAAACUUUUUGGAGAGAGAUGACCUAGCAAAAGAUUUUUUCUCUUGGUGAUCAGGAAAGGCAGUCUUUGCAGACCGAACCACUAGAGGGAGUCAGGGCAGCAGCGUUGCAAGGCCGCCGUCCAUUCUCUUCACCGAAGCAGCAACUGAUAGCCAGGCCUGGCUCUCAGGUUCUAAGUUCCCCUGAUUUCAAUAUCACCCCCAUGAAUCUUUCUGGAAUGUUUACAUCUGAUUAAAUUCUUCAAUGUCUGAGAGGCCUCUGUGUGUAGAGAGGCACAAUCACUGCUAUUUGUAGUCUGCUUACAUCUUUAUUAAUUAUUUAAUAAACAGUAUUCUCCUAAAAAUUCAAAUACUCCCUAAACGACUAAAAAUGAAAACUUAUGCAUUUAACAAAUGUGACAUUUUCCAAAUAUCUAAAUAUUAGUUUAUAAACUAAUUGAUUAUCCUAAAUAUAUGUAAUAUAUAGUGUAUAAUAUAUAUAUACUUCUAAAAUCACAAAUAUCCUAUAUCUAAGUCUUUUAAAUGCUACAAAUGCCUUAAAAGCAGAAACACACAAAUGAAUCAUCACAAUGAUACAUAUACAAAGUGAUGAAAUAUAGCUAAAAAGAUUUCCAAGCAAAGUGUUGAAGGUACCACCUGGUUUCUUCUUGGUGCUUAUAGUAAAAUGCAAGAGGAGAGUGAUAAAUCGAGGGAAGAACUGUUAAACAAAAAGGAAUCAAAGAUGAUUCUGAAAAUUCUCAGUCUCUCCAGAUGGCAAAAGAUGUUAAAAUUAAGAAAUCACUUUUGAGCUUGUGGCAUAGAGAUAAGUCCUGGCCUAGAGAAAAAGCUAAGUAGUGAUUGUACAAGCUUUUGUUAAAAUCUCAGGAAGAUUAAGGGAUCAGAGUAGUAUUCAGUCAUACAAAGGGCCCUCUCCAGAGAUUAAUGGUGUAUCUCACAGAACCUCUCAAAUAAUAGGACCUUUUGGAAGCUUAAUUGAGUUAUCUUUCAACCAUCUCAGCAGGAACUCAAGGUAGAAGGGGGCCUAGCUCAAAAAGAACCUUGGAUGUGGCCUUUAUGUAAAGGGAAAUUUACUGGAGACCCACAAAGUAUUUAAGAAAAGUAUUUCAGCAAAAACACUGCCAACUUAAACUGAAAGGGACGGAAAGAGUACAAAAUGAAAGGAGGCUGUUAGAUCUCCAAAAUUCUACUGGCAGGAAGCAGAAUGAUAAAACUACUCAGCUGCAAACAUGUGCUACUUUUCAUGAAAAAAGGAAAGAUGACUCAGAGGGUGGAACCAAGAGCUAUGGUGAAUUAUUCCCAGCCCUUGAAAUCUAAUCAAAGAAUUCUGACUGAAGUUUGCUAGGCUGGGUUUUAAAACUGCUUUGGACUGUAACUCCUUUUUAUCUUCCAUUGCCCACCUCUCCUUCUCUUUUUAACUAGAAAUGUCUAUAACUAUUUUACUAUAUUCAUUCCUUCAUUGUGCAUUAGGAGCAAGACGAUUUGUCUUUAGUUUUAUAGAUUGAGAGGAACUACGCUCAAGGAGCCUCAUGCAUACCUGGACCUGAUUUAAAUGAUGAGAUGCUGGACUUCAAGCAGAUGCUGUAAUGAUAUGAGGUUCUCAGGGACCUUGGGAAAUAGUAAAUGUAUUUUGUGUGUGAGAGGGACACAAAUCAUUGGAGGCCAAAAGGGUGAACUGAGGACAGAUGCUAGGGUAGCUCCCACAAUCCCCACCUCCUGGUUUCACCCUUGUGGGAUCUCGCCAUGAGUGUGGAUGGAACCUGUGAUUUGCUUCUAACUAGUAGAAUUUGGCAAAAAAUGAUGAGAUAUAUGUGAUUAUGUUUACAUGAUUAUAUUAUAUAAGAUUCUGAGUACAUUGAGCUGCAUAGAGAGAGCACGGGGGCAAGUGAGAGCCAGGUGGGUACUGGAAAGCUCUGUGCCUCACUGAGGAAAAAUAACUAAACAUGGGCAAAAGAGAUCCAUGGAACCUGAGAGGCAAGGUGUUAUUAUAUGCAUUCUUUGGCAAACUUGUCAGGAGGCGCAUAAGAAGAAGCACCCAGAUGGUUCAGUCAACUUCUCAGUUUUCUAGGAAGUGCUCAGAGAGGUGCAAGACCAUGUCUGCUAAAGAGAAAGGGAAAUUUGAAGACAUGGCAAAGGCGAACAAGGCUCGUUAUGAAAGACAGAUGAAAACCUAUAUCCCUCCUAAAGAUCCCCUUUAGGACGAAAAAGUAGUUCAAGGAUCCCAAUGCACCCAAGAGGCAUUCUUUGGCUGUUUUCUUGUUCUGUUCUGAGUAUUGCCCGAAAAUCAAAGGAGAACAUCCUGGCCUAUCCAUUGGUGAGUUGUAAAGAAAUUGGAAGAGAUGUGGAAGGGCACUGCCUCAGAUGAUAAGCAGCCUUAUGAAAAGAAGGCUGUGAAGCUGAAGGAAAAAUAUGAAAAGGAUAUUGCCUCAUACUGAGCUAAAGGAAAGCCUGAUGCAGCAAAAAAGGGAGUUGUCACGGCUAAAAAAAGCAAAAAAAGGAAGAAGAGGAAGAUGAAGAUGAUGAUGAUGAUGAUAAUGAGAGAUUCUCUCUCCCUUGCUGUCUUUGAAAAAGCAAGUUGCCAUGUGAAGAGGGCCAUAUAGCAUAGGAGCUGAAGGCAGCCUCCAACUGACGGCAAGAAAAUGAGGUCCUCAGUCUGACAACCUGCAAGAAACUGAAUGUUCUAAAAGCCACAUGAGCUUGGGAGCAGAUCUGACCCCAGCCAAAUCUCUGAAGUCCGCAGGCAGGAAAUGAAGAUCAGAAAAAGGCUAUUGUCUCAUGAAUAUGAGCCAGACUCCACAGAAGCUGGAGUCCUUCAUUAUGGAGCUAAACACAUACACCUGGCUUAGGAGUCAGAAAAACUGAAAGAGAAUUCAGGGAAGUAGAGAAAUUGCAAGCCCAGAUGCUGCUUCAUACCAAAGAAGCAAGUCAGCAGGUCAGCAACAAUGUGUAUCAGUUCCAAAAUGACUUACACAGGUACCAAGACAAGACAUUAUAUACACUUAUAUAGUCAAAUACUUUAAAACUGUUAACAAACUUGCUACAAUUGUCUCAUUUGUCUUUUAACCUUAAUAUCACAGAUCAAGUUUGUAAUCUCAAAAGUUCACCCUGGCUGCUGUGUGGAGUAUUCUCUUAUCUGCUCAUAUUACACUGUGCUUAUUCAUUCAUCAGUUAAUGGAAAUUUGGGUUGUUUCCUGAUUUUGACUGUAAUGAAUAAUGUUGCUGUAA